rnacentral:rRNA from 1 species
GCGUUGUCCGGAAUCACUGGGCGUAAAGGGCGCGUAGGUGGCCUGGUAAGUAGGGGGUGAAAUCUCGAGGCUCAACUUCGAGGCUGCCUCCUAAACUGCCGGGCUCGAGCAGAGUAGAGGCAGGUGGAAUUCCCGGUGUAGCGGUGGAAUGCGUAGAGAUCGGGAAGAACAUCGGUGGCGAAGGCGGCCUGCUGGGCUCUUGCUGACACUGAGGCGCGACAGCGUG